CAGUGUGGAGCCGCUUGGGAUUCUCUCUCUGCUCCUCUCCCAUGGACACAUUCUUCUCAAAGUAAACAGAAAAACUUAAAUAGAAAUAGGCUCCAGAGGAGUAGAAACCCCAAGCGGGGAUCCAUACUGGCACUACAGGUCACCACGUUCCUGCUGAGGAGGCCCAGACUCUCCCGGGGCUCCAGAACCAGACCAGUUUCUGCAAGAAGACAAAGGAACAAAGCAGGAAGGGAUGAUACAAGAUAGUGUCACCUGCCAGCCCGAAAGAGAGGCCACAGCUGAGUGCAAACAGCCCGUUAGUAUUUAAAUCCCUCCAGGGCCAAGGUUGGAGGAUGAUACAGAAAAGCAGAAGGCAGUGCCUGCCCCGUUCCGUCCGAGUCUGGUCUCCAAGCCACCCAGGCCCAUUUCUGCACAUGCCGUGGACCGUCGUGGUGAACCCCGAUUAUCCUGCCGUUGCAGCUGAAGAAGGGAAUGGAUCAAGAACGUCCAAGGCCGUGGGCCCAACUCUGUAGGAAGCGGGGGGGGGGGGGCCGGCUGGACCUCCCCGGGGUCUCUGCAGUGAAGGCCCAUCAGUGGCGGCGACAGACCGGACCCUGCUGCACAUCAGUUUAACAAGCACGCAUCAGAUUUCUAGGUCCCAUGGGUACAGAGGCCAACGCGACAAAGGCUCUGCUCUAAGAGACCUGGGGCAGCAGCGCUCCCUGGCUGGGGUGACCGUUGCUGCGGGAGCUUCAUCAAUGCCUCCAGGGCCACUGGGCCACAGCACGGGAAGCCAGACGGAUGCGAGUGCACGCUACGUGACCGGUAGGAGGCUGCUUUCUCAUGGGGUGAUGAUUAGAGGGGAUAGAAACAGUCACAGCGGUCAGAUAUAUUCGAAGAGACAUGCGCCCUUAGAUAACUGUACUCAUGUUUCCUACGAGAGUUAACAGUUAUGCUUAAAAGGAGGGGAAAAAAAAGCCUGGCCCCGUGGUCACGAUGUUUUGAAAACAGGGGAUUCCCGUGUACUUCCAGGUUGUGGUCCAGCGGGGUAGAAGCUGGUGACCUAGCACAGCCUGGGCUGUGGGGGGAAGCGGGCUCACUGUCCUGCCCAUGCCCGCAGGGCGACCCUCAGGGUCUUGGGGUCCACCCCCUCCCCCACAAAAUGGGGCUGAGACUUGUGUGACGCGGCUGGGCGCAGAAGGGCGCGUGGCAGACAUCAGUGACUGUAUCGGGGGACACGCUUGAGGGGCCUGGAACCUUGUCCCCCUCAACAGAAGAGCCAGUGCAGGGGCUGCUGCUUCUCCAGGGCUCAUCCAAGCAGGGGCUGUGUCCCCAGGGGCAACAGGACCACAGAUUCUGGUGUCCAGAAGGCAGGCAGGUGCGCAGGGACCCCAACAAAUGCGCGCAGUUGUGGUGCCCCCGCCCCAUGUCCCGCUUCCCGUGCUCCCAUAGGAAAGCUGGUGCCACCUCUGUAUCUGGGUAGAGAACCCAUAACCCGGUCCACCUUCCUUCGUCAGACUUCAGGGAGCAGCGGUUUUCCUGGGGCCCCUCUGGGCGCGAGGGACUCCCCUCCCCAUGCUAACCCGCGCCUGCCUGAGACCUGGGUCUCAGAUCUCACACUGAAACACGAGAGCAGUAGGGCAGGUCUAGGCACAGGACACAUCCUGUGCCUUCACUAGCCCUCGGGCAUCUGGAGAGCAUUGGAGAUGCCAGGCAUGGAGAGGACGCCCAGGCCACGGCCAAAGUCCACGGUCGUGGCAAUCCCGUCUGAAGCAUGAUCGGGAACUCGAGGUUCGCUGGUUCACAGGCGUCGCCCACCCUGCAGGCCCCCAUCUCUUCGAGCAACCUCAUGCCAGCUGUAGGGCGUUCUGCUGUGUGGACGGACCACCGUGUACUUGUGGUCAGUCCCCUCCUGCAGAUGGGCAGGGUUCUUCCCCAUCCUGCCGCUGUGUGUCUGCCCUUCCCACGUACAGGAGGGUACAGACGACUCCAUCACCUGCGUGGAUCUGCCCAGCUAUAAAGCCGUCAAGUGUUAGAAUGUUUUCGUGCUCCAGCUGCCCGGAAGCCAGGAAGUGGUAAGCCAGAACGAGCUGCCUCCCUGGGAGUUCGGAAAGGCCGGGCGGGGCCCAGCAGCACAGCCCCCUGAGGAAGCCUCACAGCGGGCUGUGGGGGAACCACUGACUGCGUCAGAGGGCAGACAAUGGAGCAAGAACGUCCCCACGGCGAUGGCUACGUCGGCCACCACGGCCCCAGUGCCUGUGCUGAGGAAAGGGCCAAUGAACUAUGUCUCCCUGGUAGAAGGUCACACAGCCCCUGAAAACUCCACUUGAAGGGACAUUCAUGGACGCGGGGAAAUAAAAUAUGUACCGAGAACAAAAGCAGAAAAUUGAACCAUGAGCGUGCAGAC